rnacentral:rRNA from 4 species
GGAAGUAAAAGUCGUAACAAGGUCUCCGUUGGUGAACCAGCGGAGGGAUCAUUACUGA